rnacentral:tRNA from 1 species
UCCGCGAUAGCUCAGUGGUAGAGCAGUUGACUGUUAAUCAAUUGGUCGGGGGUUCGAAUCCCUCUCGCGGAGCCA